CUAUAUUAUGGCUCUUUUAGAAUUUGUUUACCAAGUUUUCUGGUUUUCACCAAAAAACCCUC
ensembl:snRNA U7 U7 small nuclear RNA